CCCGAUCCAUUUUACCCCUCCCACACUUAAAACCCUAAUCCCCUUCCCCAUUCAAAAUGGGACAAAAUCGGAUCCUAGACUUCAAGAGAAGAAAAGCGGGUAAAGCUUGAAGAGGACCCCUGUUCCUGGCUUCAUCUUUUCAUAAUUACGCCCCCACCCGAUUUCUCAUCUUCUCCACACACAUAGAGAGUCACACGUUAGAGAUUCACCUUCAUAGACUUUAGGUCUAGCAUGUCAUUCACUCACUAUCGAAGAGAACCAAAGUGAAUUCGAAUUGUAUUUUGGAUUUGGAAAUAUAACCCUUCAAAGACUGAAAACAAGGAUAGAAACAAAUGGGAAUUUUGGGAUUUCUUGAGGAUUUUGUUGAUUCAUAUGGUUUUCCAGUAAAGAUCAGUCCGUCGAUGCCGACUCGAGUUCAUUGUUGAGUUUUGGUCGCGGUUCCUGCUGAAUCUCAAUUUUGUUUUCAUUUCAAGUGUGUCGCCAAGUCUUCUUCUGCUUGUAAUCAUUUCAACCAAUUUAAUCGAAAGAAUUUUCAGACAUUCUGAUGGUAAAUUUAUUAUCAAGGUCACUGAUGAAUACGAGUCAAAGUUUUGUUCGAGAUGUGGUUUGUUGUUCUGAUUCUGGUUUGUGAUUCCAAGCUGAAAUGUCUCUGAGAAUUAUGGGCAGGAAUCAUCGAGUUGUUUAACCUUCUUGUGAUUAAAAUUGGUGAAUAUAAGCCAAGGACCAUUCGAGAAGACGAGUCAAUUUCCGGCUAUAAUUAUUGCUUCAUUUCAGUUCGUAUAAAUUGCAGGUUCAUUUCUAUUUCAUUGGUUUCUCCCUUUCAAUUUUAUGGAGUUUAUAUGAAUUUUUAGUGCUGGUUUGUCAUUGCACCUUAGUCGCUGUUAGAUUUUGCGAAUGAGACUCUUACUUCUAGUGUGUUGAGUUAAUAUGAUUUUUUUAUGUUGGUUUGUCAUAGCACCUUAGUCGCUGUUAGAUUCUGCAGAUGAGACUCUCACUUCGAGUAAUUUUUUCGUUGUGUAUUUGCACUGAUCCGUGGCCUAGGAUUGCAAGUAUAUGCUAAUGCCAUCGCGUCGAAGAGUCUUUGAAUAGUUUUUAGAUGCUUGUUUCGAUGACUAAUUUAAUCUUUGGAUAUGAGAUUGCUUUUCUAAUUAUGAGUUACAUAGUAUUAGUUUGUUUUGCUGGCUGCUGGGUUUUAGCUUUAUUUUUGUUUGUUGUUACUUCUUCAAAUCUGUAAAUAUUUCUCUGUUGAACCUGCUCUACUGAGUUUUGAUUAUCUUUUCAGCAUUUAAUUGGCUUUCCUAAACAGUUUUGUCAUUGAUCGAGGUACAUUGUUUGGAAACCAUAGCGUUAGGAAAAUGGUUUGUUCAUUUGUGUUCGUCUAAUGAUCCAGUUUGGUUGGAUCGAUUGGCAAUGAAACCAUGUCUUGGUAGCUACUGUUCAACAAAAUUUUUGAAUCUGUUACUAGAUUUGGGAGUCUUUACUCAUUUUCCUUAAUUCCCAUUUCUUGAAGCAAAUAUGCUCUUAAAUUGAGGAUUCAUGGCCACUAUAAUGACUGUUUAAGUUGUCUGUUAUGUGGAAAUGAGAUUCAUGGUUGCUACAAUGACUGUUUAUGUUGUCUAUUCUGUUGAAAAUAAGAGUCAUGGCUGUUUUUUGCAAUUUCUACAAGUAUGACCUUUUCUUCAAAAUAUGUAUUUGAACUCUCUGAAAGGACAUGUCUUAAUAACGAAGACUUAUUACUUAACUCAAAGAAACUGUCAUCCAUUUUUUGAAGAAACUGUUCUUAUACCUGUAAUUAGGCGAAUUUGGUGUUAUCGUUAGAUAUUCAAGGUUGGAAGCUAUGUCAUUUCCCAGAACCCACUUUAUGGGACUAUACUGGGUAGUAGUUGUUGUUAUUGAAGCUAGUGUCAUUGAUUAAUUUGGUGAUAUGAUCCUAUUUUUUGUGUAGUUAUUUUCAUAGUUUUGAAUUUGCUCAUUUAGCUAUCUAUUCAUAUGCUUGCUCGAAUUGGUUAUAGCUGAAUAUGAUUUUGUUACGAUAUAGAAAUUGGGUUUCUAUUUAUCUACUGAGCUAUGUAAUUAGAUUAAAGGAACAUGGAGUGCAUUUCAUGUGACCCGGCUCUAAUUUCGAAAAAUGUUAAAUAAAUCGGGUUGUGAACCACGAGUGCAUUUUAUGUGACGUGGCUUGCGAUAUGUUUUAGAUAACCUUUAAUUUUCCUUAAAUAAAUAAAAAUAGUUUGAACGUUUACGGACCUCCAAAUGUAGUUCUCUUUUAAAUUAUAAUUGGGGCAUGCCAUGCCAAACAAAAAAUUAAUAUUGCUUGACCCUCGUUUUAAUUAAGCUUGAUUUAAUACUUAGAAGUCUGGACGAGCCAUUUAGCAAAUUUUCACGGCCUCCCGCAAAGUUAAUAAUAGGUUAGCCGCUUUAGGCUCGUUCAUUUAUAAUCUUACCUUCUUAAAUACAUGUGCGUUUUAUGUGACCCAAAUCCAAAUUUCAACGAUAUUAAAAUAUUUCAAAAACUACGGGUGCAUUUAUGUGACGUGGUUCGCGACUUAUUUUGAUAGUGUUGCAAUUCUCUUCCUAAUAAUCAUAAUAAAAGCGGAUAAAAAGUAAAGAUUUGCACAUAUGUUCAUAAUUGUUUAAAAUCAUAUAAAUUAAGCCACAUAUGACAGUUGGGAGACCGCGUGCUAGAACCACGGAACUCGGGAGUACCUAACACCUUCUCCCGGGUUAACAGAAUUCCUUACAUGGAUUUGUGAUUAGCAGACUGUAUUAAACAGUCAAACCUUCCUCGAUUCUAGAAUUAAACCGGUGACUUGGGACACAAUUAAUUAUCCCAAGUGGUGACUCUGAAAUCUCUAAAUAAAUAAAUCCCAAUUCAAUUGUCCUUUAAUUGGAAAAACUCCCUUUCUACGGCCUUCGCCGGGGUUGUAGUGUUAAAAAAGAGGUAUGAAAAUUGGCACGUGUAGGACAAUAUGGCUCGAGAUUUUGUCAGCCAGUUCCAAUAUAAUGUGAACAUCGCUCUCGAUAGAAACUAUUCGUUAAAUCUGAAAAAAGAUUUAUGGUUCGCGGACUGUUAAAUAGAGUCAACUUCUCCUCAAUUCGGGAUUCACCCAGUGACUUGGGACACCAUAAAUCUCCCAAAUGGAGAAUCUGAAAUCUCUUAAAUAAAUAAAUCCCGCUUCGAUUGUCCUUUAAUUGCAAAAACUCCCUUAACUACGCCAUUUGCGGGGUUGUAGUGUCAAAAAGAAGGUGUGACAGGUUCCAAUGUUAGUUUUGUUUAAGCAAAUAAGAAAGGCUCUCAAAGCUCAAUUCCAACUUCAAAAAAUUGCACAAAGCACAUCAUAUCCAAAGUAUUGCUAAAGAUAGUAUGAUGUUGAAAUGGGAUACAAAAGGUCCGCAGAAGUUCCAUCGGGGAAUAGUUGAGUAAUUUCAUGGGUUACAUAGGGGUUUAGAUGGAUGGAUCAAAGAUGCAACACAACAGUUUGAGUAUAGAACACUUGGGUCAUCCAAGGUCAUGUGGUUGCAAGUCCGUCAGAAAGUCAAGUGGUUCUUGGUUAGUCCAGGGAAACCAGUCAAAACAAAGCAAGGCAGCAGAGAGGCCACCUUGAGCAAGAAUGCCACAAACUAACCACUACAUUUUAAACUGAGAAGAUUUUUCUUUGAUUGAAAUAGGGGCAGAAAUUUUUGUUUAUACCGAAGAAACCCUCUGUAAGGGAAAACAAGCACCAGACAGGUUUGAUCAUAAAUUCUCAGGACUCUCCUAGAAAUUGAGACCUAGUUUAAAAUUCAAAGUAAUCAUGAGUAGUAAGAUCUAGCAUAAGUGUACCCCAAAGGAAACAUAAGUUGGUUUCAAAGUUUGCAUGCUUGAGAUAAGAUUCAAUUAGGAGUUUUCAGGACCCUCCUGAAUAAUGUGACUUAGCUCUAACAAUUUCCAUUAGAUAAUAAAAUUUAGCGUAAGUUCUGCUAUAGGGAAGGAUAAUUUAGUCUUAAAGUUGUCACUCUUAAGAUAAGACUCGAUUUUGGUUUUUAGGACCCUCCUGGAUAACGGGAUAUAAAUUUAAAAUACAUAAGAUAUUUGGUAACAUAAUUCAGUUAAUGCUAAAAAAUGUGCCCAGCCGCCAAACUGGGUCAGAAAAUUUUCUUUGUUUUGUCUAUUUUGUUGAAAUCAGGUGCCCACCUGGAGAAUAAGGGAAUACAAUUCAAGUCUUUGCCAAUAAGGUGCUCACCUGGAGAACAAGGGAAUACAGUUAAAGUUUUAGCAGUCAGGCGACAACCUGGAGAACAAUGGAAUAUAGUUCAAGUUUUUGGCAAUCAGGCGCCCACCUGUAAAAUAAGGGAAUACAAUUCAAGCUUUUGACAAUCAGGCGCCCACCUGGAGAACAAGGGAAUACAGUUCAAAAUUUUGGUAAUCAGGCGCACGCAUGGAGAACAAAGGAAUACAGUUCAAGUUUUUGGCAAUCAGGCGCUCACCUGAAUAACAAGGGAAUAUAGUUCAAAUUUUGGCAAUCGGGCGCCUACCUGGAGAACAAGGGAAUACAGUUCAAGUUUUAGCAAUUGGGCGCUCACCUGGAGAACAAGGGAAUACAAUUAAAGUUUUUGGAAAUUAGGUGCCCACCUGGAGAAUAAGGGAAUACAGUUCAUGUUUUUGGCAAUCAGGUGCCAACCUGUAUAACAAGGGAACACAGUUCAAUUUUUGGGGAUCAGGUACCCACCUGGAUAAAAAGGGAAUACUGUUCAAGUUUUUGGCAAUCAGGCGCUCACAUAGAAAACAAGUGAAUACAGUGCAAGUUCUUGGUAAUCAGGCACCCACCUGGAUAACAAGGAAAUACAAUUCAUGUUUUCAGCAAUCAGGCGCCCACCUGGAGAACAGGGGAAUACAGUUCAAGUUUUUGGCAAUCAGGUGCCCACUUGGAGAACAUAGGAAUACAUUUCAAGUUUUCGCAAUCAGGCGCCCACCUGGAGAAUAAGGGAAUACAGUUCAAGUUUUUGGCAAUUGGGCGCCCACCUGGAGAAUAAGGAAAUACAGUUACAGUUUUUGGCAAUCAGGUGCUCACCUUGAUAACAAGUUAACACAGUUCAAGGUUUGGCAAUCAGGAACCCAUCUGGAUAAUAAGGGAAUACAGUUCAAGUUUUUUUCAAUCAGGCGCCAACCUAGAGAACAAGGGAAUACCAUUAAAGUUUUUGGCAAUCAGGCACCCACCUGGAUGACAAGGGAACAGAAUUCAAUUUUUGGCAAUGUGCCGCCCACAUGGAUAACAAGGGAACACAAUUCAAGUAUUUGUCAAUCAGGUGCCCACUUAGAGAAUAAGGGAAUACAGUUCAAGUUUUUGGCAAUCAGGCGUCCACUUGGAGAACAAGGGAAUACAAUCCAAGUUUUUGGCAAUCAGACACCCACCUGGAGAACAAGGGAAUACAAUUCAUGUAUUUGGCAAUGAGGCACCCACCUGGAGAAAAAGGGAAUAUAGUUUAAGUUUUGGCAAUCAGCCGCCCUCCUAGAGAACCAGGGAAUACUUUUCUAGUUUUUGGCAAUCAGGCGCCCACCUGGAGAACAAGCGAAUUCUAUUCAAGUUUUGGCAAUCAAGCGCCCACUUGGAUAACAAGGGAACACUGUUCAAGUUUUGGCAAUCAGGCGACCACCUAGAUAACAACGGAAUACAGUUCAAGUUUUAUGCAAUCAGGCGCCCACCUGGAGAACAUCGGAAUAUAGUUCAAGAUUUUGGCAAUCAGGCACCCACCUGGAUAACAAGGGAACCCAGUUCAAGUUUUUGGCAAUCAGGCGCCCACUGGAGAAUUAGGGAAUACGGUUCAAAAUUUUGGAAAUCAGGCGCCCACCUGGAGAACAAGGAAAUACAAUUCAUGUUUUGAGAAUCUGGCGCCCACCUGUAGAACAAGGAAAUAUAGUUGAAGCUUUUGGCAAUCAGGUGCCCACUUAGAGAACAAGGGAAUACAGUUUAAGUUUUGGCAAUCAGGCGCCCGCUAAGAGAAUAAGGUAAUAUAGUUCAAGCUUUGGUAUUCAAGCGCCUACCAGGAGAACAAGGGAAUACGGUUCAAGUUUUUGGUAAUCAGGCAGCCACCUGGAGAUUAAAGGAAUAGUUCAAGUUUUGGUAGUCAAGAGGCCACCAUGAGAGCAAGGGAAUACGGUUCAAGUUUGGCAAUCAGGGAGCCGCAUGAAGAAAGGGGAAAGCAUCUCAGAUUACAAUUCAAGUCAGUAACAAAGGGACUUUACUGGGAGAAUACAAGUCAACAGCAAUCACAAUAUCAAGAUUGAGGAUAUAGAUAGGAUUGUUGUAACGCAUAUGUGAGCAUAUGAUUUUUGCCUCGUUGAGAUUACUCCUACAAAAUUCUUAAACUUAGGAUUUUUCAUUUUUAUUAUUUUUUAUAGGACUUAAUUGUGCAUAUCAGUGUGUGUUUUCAUUGAUGCAUAAAUGACAAGUCAUAAAAAUACACAAAAAAUUACAUAUGCAAUUAGGAUUUAAUUUCACAUAUUUUGUUAAAUUAAUUGGUAGUUAAGGUUUAUUUUGCAAAAUAUAAAAAAUCACAAAAUAAGUAGUUUAUUUGGCAUUUUAUUGCUAAUUUUCAUUUUUUGGGAUUUUUAUUGUUAAUUUAAAAAUUUGUUUAUGAUUAAGGGGUUAUUAGUUUAAAUUAGUCUAGUUAAGAAUUUUAAAAUAAAUUUAGGAAGUUUGUAAAAAAGAAAAUGAAAAACAAAAAAUAGGACUAAAACGUUUAAACCAGGCUGGUGACCAUCUCACCUUCCCAUCCACAAACCCAUGACCAACGACCCUCGAAUACAACUAGACGUAGCCAAAAGUUAGAUCUGAAGCCCAGACCCCGUCACAAAGUUAAUCAACCCUUGCCUGAUACCCUCUCCUCCUUUCUAACAAUGAAACAAAGGUCUCAAGAGACCAAAGAUCCUCUUAGAAAGGGUCGAAGAACCUUGAGAUUUGAAGAAGUCCAAUUUUAGGGUUACAAUGAAAAAAAAAGCUAAGUUCCCUUUGUUUUAAUUGCUUUUAUUUCUGUAGUUUUGUUUGUUUUCUUUUCUAAUUGCUUUUAUCUUUUAAAGUAAAUUAAGUUUUCAAUCUGUUCAUCUUCGAGAUAUUCUGAGUAGGUGCUUCCAUGCUCGUCCUUGUUUUCUUUUCUAGUUGAUUUUUUAUCUUCCUUGUUUUCAUUUGUUUAAGUACAUUAAGUUUUAUAUUUGUUUAUCUUCGACAUAGUUUGAGUAGGGUUUUCAUCUAGAGUCAUAUGCUCGUCCUUGUUCUCUUUUCUAAGUUGUUUUUGAUCUUCCUUAUCUUCAUUUGUUUAAAUACAUUAAGUUUUCAUCUGCUCAUCUUUGAAAUAUCCUGAAUAUUUGCUUCCUUAACUGUCUUUGUUUAAGUCUAGAUAACCUGCUUCUGAAUAGUCUGCCUAACAUUUGAAGCCACAGUUCGUUCUUGCUGACUUAUUUGAAUGAUCAUGCUAAGCUCAGAAUUGGUCGUCUUUGGUUUUAAAUUGAUCACUGUCCUGUAUUUCUGAAUUUUUUUCUGUUUAACUUUUUAUAUGUAUAUGAGAAAUUUAGUUUCAUAGUGUGAUAUUUGUCUGAAUAUGUGUGUUGCAUUGACCAAAUUUUGACCUUUGGUUGUUUGCAUUUACAUAAUAUAGUAUAAUCUGCAAUUAAACUGUUGGCCAUGACUAUCUUUUUCAGAAUUUGAUCCUAGAUGCUAAUAAUAACCUUGGUUUAUGACCUGAAGUAGUUAACUAUGGUCAGUUUCUGACCAAAUAGAUAGGUACCAGGGUUUAAAACACUUAGGCCAAUAAUUAAGAAAUGAGGACAGGGGUAUUAAGGAUAUUUGGAACAUAGGAAUCUUGUAGCAAACUCCUAGAACAUUCUAGUGAAGGGUCAAAAUACAAUUUCUGUCAAAUCUGCCUCAAAACUUGAGGCACACGUUAGAAAAUCAAUGAUCAUUUAGGCAAAUAUGAAAAAUGGGUAAAGGACUAGAAGGAAAACAAAAGGAUUUUGUUGCCCUAAGUCUUUGGUUAUAAAAGAGAUGUCUGAUUAUUUUAAAAGGGGUUUUUUUUUCUAGAGCUAGAAGACAAUUUUUUCAGAUAUAGAGAGAAAUAUACAUUUCAUAUAACAUUCAUCUGAAAAUCAAUUUCAAGUUUUUCCUGGCAAAAUCUUCUUUUAUAAUUGAGGUUCUACUCAUUAUAAGUUGAAGACUAAUUGAUGCAUGUGCAUUUUGAGCUCUUAGAGAGACUUGUUUUCGUUAUUUGCUUCUCAAAAUUUCUUGAGUUCCUGGGUUAACUAGUAGAUUUGGUUGCUGUUGCUUAUUUGCCUUUCGUUUAACUUGCUCAUAGGUUCUCUUUUGCUGAAAUUCCAGGUACCAACUCUUACCCAGAAAGUGUGGAAAUGCAUACCUGUAUAUGUUUUUUCAUGUCCAAUAAUGAAGACGUUUACUUCUAUGCUAACAUUGUAAUGCAAAUAUUAUUAGUCUAGUAUGUUUAAAAUAUUUUCCUUAUCUUGGGACUGUAAUAUAAGAACAAUCGGCCUGUGUUGUACUAUUAUAUUAGCUUUUAAUUGCAAGUCAUUUUAAUUCAGUAGGUAGA
rnacentral:lncRNA from 1 species